rnacentral:rRNA from 1 species
AUUGAACGCUGGCGGCAUGCUUUACACAUGCAAGUCGAACGGUAACAGGCCGCAAGGUGCUGACGAGUGGCGAACGGGUGAGUAAUGCAUCGGAACGUGCCCAGUCGUGGGGGAUAACGCAGCGAAAGCUGCGCUAAUACCGCAUACGAUCUAUGGAUGAAAGCGGGGGACCGUAAGGCCUCGUGCGAUUGGAGCGGCCGAUGUCAGAUUAGGUAGUUGGUGGGGUAAAGGCUCACCAAGCCAACGAGCCGUAGCCGGUCUGAGAGGACGACCAGCCACACUGGGACUGAGACACGGCCCAUACUCCUACGGGAGGCAGCAGUGGGGAAUUUUGGACAAUGGGCGAAAGCCUGAUCCAGCCAUUCCGCGUGCAGGAUGAAGGCCCUCGGGUUGUAAACUGCUUUUGUACGGAACGAAAAGCCUUCUUCUAAUACAGGGGGGUCAUGACGGUACCGUAAGAAUAAGCACCGGCUAACUACGUGCCAGCCGCCGCCGUAAAAC